UCAAUGACAUUAUGGGGAGAAGGAGCUCCGGCUAACUCUGUUCCAGCACAACACAAUAAGAGAAGAGGGAGAAAAGACAUUUUUCGGAAUGGUAGGGGCGUAAAGCACGCGUAGGGGGUGAAUGAAGUCAGAUGUGUAAUGAAAGGGGCUGAACUCGGGAACUGGCAGGAGGCGGGAUAGGAAGAAUGUUGGAGGGAGGAGUGGAAUUCCAAGUGUAGGGGUGAAAUUGGUGGAUAUUCGGAAGCACCCCAGGGGAGAAGCCGGCCCCCUGGACAAUUAUUACGCUGAGGUGCGAAAGCGAGGGGAGCAAACAGGACUUAGAUUCCCUGUUAGUCCCCGCCGAAACAAAAAAGGACUAUCUUCCGGGGUCACAAGAGGUUUUCGGUGGCGCAGCUAAACGCCAUAAAUUUUCCCCCCCCUGGGGAACCC
rnacentral:rRNA from 1 species